GGGAGGAAGCUAAACCAGCAGGGAAGUUGGUCCCAUCCUUUUGUGGUGCUACCUUGCAAAGAGAGGCUUGUUCUAAUGAACUUUCCUGCAAUGCAAAACAACUGGGACUUGGAUUCCCAACUGGAUCGAUUUGGGGUAUCUGCAAUGCGUCGCUUGCAAGUGAUCUGCAGACCGAGAAGUUCCUGGGAAACAGUGUGCUGGAAGGACUGAGAUGGAAUCCUGUGCCUCGUGACACCGUACAUGGUUAUACAGUGUAAGCUAUUAAAAGCAUGUUCUGCUAGGGACUGUGCUGGACCCUUUAAGUCAGUGCUUGUCCCACUAGACUCAUGUUCAAAAAGGUAAGUUUU